GACGAACGCUGGCGGCGUGCUUAACACAUGCAAGUCGAACGGAAAGGCCCUGCUUUUGUGGGGUGCUCGAGUGGCGAACGGGUGAGUAACACGUGAGUAACCUGCCCUUGACUUUGGUAUAACUUCAGGAAACUGGGGCUAAUACCUGAUAGGAGCUCCUGCUGCAUGGUGGGGGUUGGAAAGUUUCGGCGGUUGGGGAUGGACUCGCGGCUUAUCAGCUUGUUGGUGGGGUAGUGGCUUACCAAGGCUUUGACGGGUAGCCGGCCUGAGAGGGUGACCGGCAAAAUUGGGACUGAGAUAAGGCACAGACGGCAACGGGAGGCAGCAGUGGGGAAUAUUGCACAAUGGGCGGAAGCAUGAUGAAGAAACGCAGCGUGCGGGAUGACGGCCUUCGGGUUGUAAACAGAUUUAGAAUGAGAAGAAGCGUGAGUGACGGUAAUGGGUAAAGAAGCACCGGCUAACUACGUG
rnacentral:rRNA from 1 species